CCAAUAGCGUAUAUUAAAGUUGUUGCAGUUAAAAAGCUCGUAGUUGAAUUUCGGGAUCGGUAGGUUGGUCGUGCCACUGGUAUGCACUGGUCUUACUGAUUCCUCCUUCUUGUAUAACUGUAAUGUCAUUAAUUUGGUGUUGCAGGUAAACAGGACUGUUACUUUGAAAAAAUUAGAGUGUUUAAAGCAGGCUAACGCUUGAAUACAUUAGCAUGGAAUAAUGAAAUAGGACGUUCGAUCCUAUUUUGUUGGUUUCUAGGAUUGACGUAAUGAUUAAUAGGGAUAGUUGGGGGCAUUAGUAUUCAAUUGUCAGAGGUGAAAUUCUUGGAUUUAUUGAAGACUAACUACUGCGAAAGCAUUGGCCAAGGAUGUUUUCAUUAAUCAAGAACGAAAGUGAGGGGAUCGAAGACGAUAAGAUACCGUCGUAGUCUUAACCAUAAACUAUGCCGACUAGGGAUCGGAUGAUGUUAAUUUUGUAAUGACUCAUUCGGCGCCUUACG
rnacentral:rRNA from 1 species